rnacentral:misc_RNA from 1 species
UCCGAGUUGACCCCGGCAGUCUCACAUGAGUUCCCACCAUAACGUGCUGGCAACAUGCGACGAGGGUUGCGCUCGUUGCGGGACUUAACCCAACAUCUCACGACACGAGCUGACGACAGCCAUGCAGCACCUGUCUCGACGUCCCUUGCGGGAACCCCCACUUUCAUGGGGUAGCGUCGGAUGUCAAGCCCAGGUAAGGUUUUUCGCGUUGCUUCGAAUUAAUCCACAUAAUCCACCGCUUGUGCGGGUCCCCGUCAAUUCCUUUGAGUUUUAACCUUGCGGCCGUACUCCCCAGGCGGUCAACUUCACGCGUUAGCUUCGUUACCAAGGAAUUGCUUCCCCGACAACCAGUUGACAUAGUUUAGGGCGUGGACUAC